UUCCAGGCGAAGCUUUAAUCUUCAACUAAGCACAUUCUCUGGAAUCUCACGAGAGACUAAGUCUGAGAUAUAUUUUAUGUUAGUUUAUCACCCUUAAGCCCUUAAUUAGCAUGAGGUCUCACAGAGUUACUAGAUGAGAAGGUCAUUUUAAAAAUUACUUAGAGUUACUGCAUGGUUCUUGUAAAAAAUAAAUGGAAAAGAGGUGAUAGGAGGGAAAUCUAGGACUGGGUCACCUGGAAUCCCAGCAGGUUUGACAUAAGUGUGCACACAGUCUCUGAAUACUGCUGACAGGCGCAAAGGCGGUCGGGGAGGCAUAUUCUUCUCCUGGCUCUGCCUGUAAGAUAUGUUGUAUUCACGGGAAGGUACCUGGACAACUUCUCAGAGACCCAGCUACAAAGAGAGGAUUCAACCCGGAUUUUUGAGUGGCGGAAGGAGAGCACCCACCGGUGAGCAGCGUUCACCAGUGAACGUUAUGUGGAGGUACCAAGCAAUGGAGGGAUGUUAGCGGACUAAAUUAAAGAUUCCAAAAGAAGAGCAGAUUGCUACCCAUAAAACUAAGCAACGUCAACGUGGAAUUACUGGAAGAAUCCGAAAGUCUUUGCAGAAAUGCUGUGCUUACUCCAAUGUUUCUCAAAAACCAGCUAUUUUAAAGGGACCAGGGUCAAUAUAAAUGAAAUAAAUGGAGGCUAAGAUAAAAUAUGUCAGAAAAUUUGCCGAAAGGUUAUUUUAAGGUGGCAUGUUAAAAACAAUAAUGGGCCAUUAGGCUGUCUUGUUAAAGGCAUUAAAGUCACAGGCACAAUGUAUGAGUCACAUGGGCAAGAUUUUCCACUUUAUAUAUAAAAACUUCAAUAUUGAAUUUCUGGUAAAAGUAAAAUGUUGCCAUUUCUGUGUAUAUUAUUAUAAAUAUUCAAAUUAAAUUGUAGGCAGAGGAGUAAGCAAAGUAGUAAUGUCUCUAGAAAUGUGUUAUCAAAAUGCUAGACAUUAUAAUUGACAUUACAAUACAGACUUUAAUGUAAUUUUUCUUUAUAAUUAAGUAGGCAUUGAAAAAAUCUUUUGGCUGAUCAUUGUGCAUGCAGGCAUACUGCUUUUUACAAGCAAGCAUCCCGUCGUCAAAGGCAUUUGUAAUUAAUUUACUUUUAAAACAAAAUUUGAGCAUCUCCAAAGACUAAGAUAAGGGACUAGAUAAUUUAAUGUUGUAUAAGAAAUGGUUACCUCACCUUUUAAUGUAGAAUUGGAGACAGAUGCUUGAUAUAUGAGGUAUAUGCCCUAUAAGGAUGGCUUCGUCUAUUUUGUGCAUUGCUGAAUCUCCAGAACCCACAACAAAAUGUACCACAUAUAAGAAACUCAAGCAGAGUUUGCUAAAAGAAGGAAUUAUUAACAAAUUCUUAUUGUUUACAAAAUUACUUCAAUGAUAAAUUCUUACAACCCUUUUCUGACUAUUAUGCAUGAUUUUGGAGGCUAUAUCUUAAUAAUUUGUUUUGUUAAAUUUUGCAAUAAUUAACAUUAAAGAAGUAUUAUUCCUAUUAACUCUUUAUGGUCAUUGAUGAUAAAGAAAAAGUCCUUUCAAGGGACAUGGAACACUUCGUGGUUAAUUUGUUGCUGAGAAAAUUUGCCUUUACCUUUUGGAAUGUAUUUAUUUGCUUUUUUUCUUUGUUUACUUAUUUUGAGUUUUAGAAUAUUCGUGGCAUAGCAUCAACAAUAAAAAAAAAGACUAGAUGUAGAUAAAGAUACAGAUAUGGAUAACUUCCAUUUAGGUACAAUGUCUUAUGACAUCUGGUUAAACCACCUGCUUCUUCCUGAUGGAAACUCAGGAUCUUUAAAUGGUUUGGGCUAUUUUAGUUAAAUAUCUUAUAUCAGAUAUACCAUAUGGGAUUUUUUUUUCUUAUAGUAUUUAUACCGUCACACAUUGACUAUUUAAUUACUUUCUGAGAGUCUUGUAUUGUCACAUUUUUAAAUCUUUAAAGUAAAUUGAAAAAAAUCUUUAUUUUCCAUCCAGCAGUGAUCAGGAGUUCAGAAAGGAGCUGACUUGUAAGUCCUGCACUGGGGCACUGUGGAGUCCGAGGGGGCAAAUGUACGCUGCAUACUUUGGAGCUCCAUAACACAAAUUCAUGUCUUGAAUGGGGUGGGGGAGGAGGCGUUUGCAGAGUAAAAAGAAACAGAAGAUUCCAGAUGCUAGAGCUUACAGAUGCUUUCAUUACAGGAAACUCAUAUAAAUGAUGACAGUACACAGAAUAGAUGUGGAAAGCAGAAAAAGAGACCGGAUCACAAGAUAUGCAUCUGUACUCAGAAAAUCACGGGUGAGAUUACUGAAAACAACUGUUGGGAGUUUUCUGAUUUAAUCCCAUUGACUGGAUCACUGAACAGGACAUUUUUCACUUCCAGUUUUCAUGUUUUGGCUGACCUAGGAAAUCUCAUGGUUUUGCUUUGUGACACACGCUUUUAGGAAAAGCUGUUAUUUCUGCUGCUUUGUACUGCCCUGUCUCUACUGAACUGUGGGGCUUCGACAGAAUUUAGAGUUUCAGGGCUGCAAGACAAACCCACAGAAAUAAUGCAAUGCUAUAUAGCUGGAGCACUGGUGAUGACAGUCCAUUCCAGUGUUGGUGACUGGAAGGGAGAGGGACUGCCACCCAAUGUUUUCACAGUGCCUAUUUCAGACAGCAUUUAAACCCACAAAGUGGGGUGGGAUGGGGAACAAGCAAGGGAAAAAAAAGAUUCCAUUUCCUUGAGGGGGUAAAAAUAAUUCAAAAGUAUCUGAGAAGGCUUAGGUAUGGUAAUUCCCUAUUCCAAACAUACAUAAGUCACAGGCAGCCUUAUUCUUUGGUUUCUAGGCACUUUUUUGAGUUUAGCACAAUAGGGAGAAGAAAACUGGAGGUUAGUGAAUCCAGUGGGGCAAGAGGUGAAGAGGACUAAAUUUCAGUCAAGACAACAAGGAAAGUACAAAGAAUGCAGUUUCUCUUUCAUGUGCUUUGAUCGUCUUUCCUGUUUUACCCUUAAUGAAUACUUUCUCAAAACUAAAAAUAAAACACCGCAUUCUAUUAAGUUCUGCUCUUCCUCCUAGGGAAUUCUGAAGGGGUAAGUGUCUGUUUCUCAUCUAUGAAUAUGACUCUCUACUUUCAUAUGUAUAGCUCAUGCACAUAUCUGCUUACGUGUGUUUUUCUUUUGCUGGGAAUCAGGCAGUGGACAAGAGAAAGAGGAAAAAGGAGUCCAUCCUAAAGACCCAAAACAAAUGUUAGUUUCUUCAAAUUGCUUUUACAAUUCUAGUGGUUGGCACUGACCAAACUCAGUUUGGCAUAUUGGAAGAUUUGCAGGUGCAGCAUAAAAUCACACACAUGCUGUGAGAAGCCGGGAAGAGUAGGGCAGGUAGAAGUUCGCCAUCAUCCACCUGACGCAGCAGCUCCUGGAAGGUAAUGGGCUGAGAAAGAAACUUCCGGAACAGGAGAGAUGCAUUUCUUGUCAACAAUUAAGGUGCACCGUGUGUGCAUACUCAGUGUGAAACUUGGUUUUUCAUUCCAGAUGACGUGCCCACAAGGUCUCAGAUUAUUCUAAUUGGAGAAUAAUGAAAUGAGAGAUGCCAUCCCAGAUGCCUUUGAUUUGAGUUUACUAGUUUACUUAUGCCUUACACAAAGGCCACACAUGUGUGCCCUCGGAGUGCAUGAGCACACAUUACUCAGAGCUGUAUUAUCAAUCCUCGAUGCCAGUCACAGCUUGCUUACUUGUGGAUGGGACCUUUGCCAUUGUAGAGAGAUGCUAAUAUAUACGUGGUCAGCAACUGCACUCAUUACAAAUAAGCUCUCUCCAACUAAAUGAUUUAAAUAAUCAUAUUAAUAAAUACAUGAUACCCGUACGUACAAGUCACAUUUUCUCCCCCACUGAUGGCUUUGAUUACUUUGACAGACUAAGAUACGCUAAUGAUACAAAUUACGAGCAAGAAGAAUUAAAAGGGUGUUUAACUCUGAUGCUAGGCUGUCAAUUUCCUAUAGUGCUACCAACUUACAGAUAGAUGAUUAAAAUUGUUUCAUUUAAGAAUUUUGAAUAUUUUAAAAAUUGAAUGGGUUUCUGGAGGAGGAAAAAAGAAAGAAAAAAAAAUCUAUGCUAAGCUAAUUAGACAUCCUAUUGAUUUAACAAUAGAACAGAAUUAUUCUUUGAGUGUUAAGCUCAUCCUGCAUUACUAUAAGAGCCUACAUUUUGCUAUUACAAAAUGCAUUUGCAAAUUUUGCUCGGUGUGUUUGGCUGAUUCUGUACAUUUGAUAUUAUUCAUAUAUUUAAUUGUGGGUUUAUAAAAAGAAGUGGUCAUUUACUUCUUAAUUUGUUUCUAAAGUAAUUAUUUCCAAAAUAUGAUGGUGGAUACUGUAAGUCCCAGAUAUAUGAAAUAAUGGUUCCUUUCUCUGAGGGGCUGAAAAUCUAGCAGAAAAAAAUAGCACAUACACACAGAUUACCAUAUAUCGUAGAAUCUUAUGAGUGACAUAUUAGUACACACAAAGUACUUUGACUGCAAGGAAGUAGUACGGAUUUUUCAGUCAGGCAGUGUAGUUUUAAGCUUUGAUUUCAUCAUCAGAUAAUUAUAACCACCUUGAGAAAUUUACUGUAUUUUUUUGGGUCUCUCUUGUAUUAUGUGUAUGAUGAAGUAAUAUAUCAUAUCUCUCUACCAUAUCUGUCUAUCUCUCAGACAUAUGUGAAUAUUACUUGAGCCAACACAUGUGAACUAUUCAGAACGGAUAUUGGUGCAUGGCAUACUUAUCCAAUUGAAAGAGAUUUAUUGAUGCUAUUAAGAACCAUCUUACAGUUGAAAACGGAUCAUGAAAAUGGCUUCCCUCUGGAUAUAUAUAAAUAAGUCACUUUGAGACUUGAUGAUGAUGGUGAUGAAGAUGAUGAUGAGGAGGAGGAUGAAAUUGAAGAAGAAAGUAAUAAUAGUAAAAAUAAUAUUUAAUAAUCAGUGAUUGCUCACUUUUCAGCAGAUAGUAUGAUGACUGUCUAAUAUAUGUAACCUUAUUUAAUCAUUUCAGUAACACAUAAAAAAUGUCAUAUAUGCUGUAAAUUACCAUAAUUCUUAAAUGAAGAAAGAGAGGCAAGGAAUUAUAUUUAAGUUAUAUAGCUAAUGAAAAUUGGUGCCAAAUAUCAAAUCCAAAAUUUUUUUCUCAAGGGUCAUAGCAGACAUUGUAGUUAUUUUACUUUGGUAUGGUAAAUUCUAUCCCUCUGGUCUUAUACAGCAAUAAACUUUAGGAUUUCCCAAAGUUUAAUCAUUAAGUGUCAUCUUUUUUCUAGCCAAAGGGAUACAAUCCUUUAUUCAAUAAUGUUUCAAUGUUAACUAAGCAAUACUGUAAUCCAGACUCUAUUUUAGGCACUGAGGAAGAUGGUAAUGAAUGAAGCAGAAAAAAUCCCUGCCCUUAGGAAGUUCACAAUAAUGAGAGAUUGACCUAUAAACCAAAAAAAUAUGAGUAUAACAAUAAUGCAGUGGUUAUGAUCAUGAACUUUGAAAUUAGAAGAUAAAAAUAGAAAUGCCAUAUGAUCCACUAAUUCCAAUAACUCCACCACUGUAUAUUUUAACCAAAAAAAUAUAAACACUAAUUCAUAAAGAUAUAGGGCACCCCUAUGUUUACUUCAGCAUUAUUUACCAUAGACAAGAUGUGGAACCAACCUAAGUGUCCAUGAUAGAUAAAAUGGAUGAGGAAGAUGUGGUGUGUGUGUGUGUGUGUGUGUGUGUGUGUGUGUAAUAUGUAUACACAUACAUGCGGGUAUGUGUGCACAAAUACACAAUGCAAUAUUACUCAGCCAUAAAAAAUGAUGAGAUCUUGCCAUUUGCAGCAACAUGGACAGACCAAAAGGGUAUUAUGCAAAGUAAAAUAAGUCAGACCGAGAAAGACAAGUGCCAUAUGAUUUCACUUAUAUGUAGAAUUUAAAGAACAAAACAAAUGAGUAACCAAACUAACAAAAAGCAGAAUCAGACCUAUAAAUUCAGAGAACAAACUGGCGGUUGCCAGAGGGAAGUGGGUGGAGGGAUGGGCAAGUGGGUAAAGGAAAGUGGGAGAUACAGGUCUCCAGUUUUGUGAUAAAAUUACAGGAAUAAAAGGCACACAUAAGGAAUAUGGGCCAAUGGUAUUGUAAUAGUGUUGCACAAUAACGGAUGGUAGCUGUGCUUGUGGUGAGCAUAGCAUAAUGUAUAGAGAUGUUGAAUCACUAUUUUAUUCACUUGAAACUAAUGUAACGUUAUGUGUCAACUAUACUCAAAAAACCCCACAAAAUUUAAGGAAGAUAUGAAUUCAAACUAUCCUCCAUCACUUUCUGUAAGUGAUCUUGGAAAAAUUACUUAAUUUCUCUGAAAUCCAAUCUCUUCACCUACAAAAUAAAGAUAAUAAUAUGUAAUUUUAAACAGGGUUAUUCUAAUGAUAUGAAUUAAUAUUUAUAAAGAACUCAGCAUAGCACUUACAAUAGUGCUUUAGGGAAGCUGUUUUUAAGUGCUUCCUUAUAUACAUGAUGCAUACAUCACGGAUGCAUGCAUACA